rnacentral:rRNA from 1 species
AACGUAGGUACCGAGCGUUAUCCGGAUUUACUGGGCGUAAAGCGCGUUCAGGCGGUUUGGCAAGUCGGGCAUGAAAUCUCUCGGCUCAACCGGGAGAGGUUGUCCGAUACUUCCAGACUUGAGGGCAGUAGAGGGUGGUGGAAUUCCGGGUGUAGUGGUGAAAUGCGUAGAUACGUCGAGGAACACCAGUGGCGAAAGCGGCCACCUGGACUGCACCUGACGCUGACACGCGAAAGCUAGGGGAGCGAACGGG